UUACUAUUCUACAUUGGUUAGAGGUAUAGGGGGAGGGUUGAGAUCUCACAAACAUGUUUAACCCCGCCUGUCCCAAGUCAGGAGCCUCUGGCCUUUGUUAGUCUUGUAUUAUUUUAAUUUUAGUUUCUUGUGUACAAUUUGGAAAUUAGUAUGGCGUUCAUUAUCACUGGACUAGUAUAUAUUUGUUUAGGGGCCAGCUGAAGGACGCCUCCGGGU
rnacentral:lncRNA from 1 species